UCUAGGCGGUUGGCUUCAUCUUCUUUUAAUAUCAGAUAUUGACGUCAACUAUAAAGAAAUUAACAAAUAUUUUGGGUAUUUCCAGGGAAACCCAAAUUUGCACCCGACCCCAAGCUAGUUGACCUGGGCCAGGUCAGCCCUGAGGAUGAAGACCUGUACAACAUGCGUGGAUGAAGAACGACAGGAGGAAANNNNNNNNNNCCUCCUGCUGAAGAGAUUCCUCCACCUGCCCCUGUUGAGGAGGUUGCUGCCCCACCUACAGCUGAAGAGGCGGCAUCUACACCUGUUGAGGAGGCUGCUCCUCCAGCUCCAACAGAGGAGCCAUCUGUGUUUGUAAUAGUAACUGCUGGGAAACCCAAAUUUGCACCCGACCCCAAGCUAGUUGACCUGGGCCAGGUCAGCCCUGAGGAUGAAGACCUGUACAACAUGCGUGGAUGAAGAACGACAGGAGGAAANNNNNNNNNNACAGGCUGUGUGUCCUGAUUCUCCACCCUUCUCCCCAAGUGUGUACUUGCGCACUUCCUGUCAUGCAUUUACCAAUGGUGGAAACUCCCGCCUCCGGACAAAAUUUUCACCAAUCCGAUUUGAAUUCAUUACACGGAGAAGGAUGGAGAAUCAGGACUCACCCAUACUGUAUUUGAAUUUGAACUCUGUCAUUUGUGUUUCUUUGCAGAUGAGCUUGCAGUUUACAAAGACACCCACAGGGAGAAGGGUGCAGGCCAUCAUCUACAUCCACCAGAACAAACAGCCAUCUUUACACUCUUCUUCCAGGGCCACAACACAAGGGACUACUUGGGUCACUGCUAUGCUGUCACUUUUUUUGUCAGCCACAUUCACGUGGUGAAUGCCUGUUAUUAGUCUGGUCAGUCUAUGUAAAUAUUUUCCAUGUGGCAUUUCGUAAACGAGUGAGCCGUUUUAACACACAUCCAUGUUUUUAUAGCAUUUGUAAGACUUUAUAGAACUACUGAGUUGAACCUUUUUGUAAAACCCCAAUGUUUAUGGAUGUGUGCAGCUCUUGCACAAGUUAGACACUCACAAAUAAGCCCACAUAGAGGAACCUGGAAGUCAUGUUACAUUAUGAACUGGCCAGUUUGAUAUGCGUGUUUGGAUCAUUGGAAUAAUGUCCUUGUACUUGAUGUCAGUUAGUAUUUUCAAAAGGAAAUGUUUCAAACAUAUUUGUUUGUAUUUUAAUAGAACUGUCAACAUAUUUAAACUUUUUUUUAUAUAUAUAUAUAUUAGGCUAUUUUACAGUACAGCCAAGAGGACAUAUUUUACAUGUUUUAUCACUCCCUUUUCUUUUUUUAUAAAUGAAAAUCACUUCACGAAUUGACUGCCUUCAAUUUGAAAUCACCCCAGCCCUGAUCUUCACAAUGAUAAUCAUGUUUCAGAUGUGUGCAAUAUGCAAUAUAAUUUUGGUGCAAUAUAAUUGCCAAAUAGGGAAUAAAGGCAUUUUCCUUCAUUCUCCUUUUUUGUAAUUUUAAUCAGAGCAGAGAAAAAGUGCAAAUGGUAAAUAAAGUAUUGUGAUAGUCAUGCAAAGUAAUUGUGAAUGAUAUGAGUAUUUGAUUUCAAACACUAGAGGGCGAUAGUGUUAAUAUAUGCCUUUCGGGCAAAACCAGAAUAAGAAUGAACCAAGUCCAUGUUUAGGGGAAGGAAGUACAUUGUUUACAAAAAGGACUUAUUGGAAUGAGGGACACUUGAUUAUUUCAAAUUCAGAGAGGAGUUCCCAGAUAAUGAUAAGCUUAUAUCAAACCAAUAAUGAGUGGUUUGGAGGGAAUGAGUGGCUAACUGUAAAUUUCGCUAAGCAAUCCCUAGCCUGCUAUUCAGUGGAGAGGGUGUGUGUGGUCCAAGUCUGGGUUUAAGGCUCUCUUUUCCAAGCUUAAAAGGAUUAACAUUCACUUGCAACACAUCAUAGGCCAGAGAAGGUUGAAUACAUUGGCCAUGCUGUCAAUCCAGCAUGACUUCUGCCGCAUCCAAAACUGGGAACUGGGAAAUCUCAGACUUCAGUGAGUUCAAGACAACUGGGAACUCUGGAAAAAAUUGAGCUCCGAUUGGAAAAAUACAUUUUGAAAGGUCAUCUCACUUGGAAUUCUAAGUCAGGAACUCGGGCCUCUUUCUAGAGCUGCGACCUGAAGAUCACUGAUGUCAUGAUUCAACCUUGUUUUUUCCAGAGUUCCCAGUUGUCUUGAAAGCACCAUCAAUCCAGAGAAUGCUAGACUUUGAUUGCAAAGUUUGACCAAAUUUGCCCUCAAGAAGGACCGCCGCGCCACUUUCCUGUUUAAGUGAGCACAGCACAAGGUGAGUCCAAAAAUGUCUUGUAUGCUGCUGCAUAAAUUAUGUAAUAUGCUAUGGAGCUAUGUAUGCCGUAGCUAAGAAAGUAAUACUAAGUGUAUGUUGUGUAGUAAGCUGUUAGUAGCCCAUGUGCAUCACUUUAAUAAUUUGGUCCCUUUCCCCAUAACUUAACCUACUGUUCUGACAUGGUGGUGCACAUGUAGCCUAUAACUUGUUUUAGAAUCAAAUCAAAUGUAUUUGUCACAUACACAUGGUUAGCAGAUGUUAAUGCGAGUGUAGUGAAAUGCUUGUGCUUCUAGUUCCGACCAUGCAGUAAUAUCUAACAAGUAAUAUAACCUAACCAUUUCAUAACUACCUUAUACACACAAGUGUAAAGGAAUGAAUACGAAUAUGUACAUAAAAAUAUAUAGAGAACUGUAAUCAUCGAAUAUUGUAAGAGCUUUCAUUGUCUGCUUAUAUGCUCCCUUUUAUUUAUCCUACGGUUCUGACUUGGUGUACAGGGAGAAUACUGUAAGAACGGCCAAUGUUCUGAAUUCUGUCAUUGUACAUUUCAAAUAGUUAUAUCGACUACGUCAUCAUUGCUCGCUCAUUAAUGUCUUAAUCGAAAUUACGGAUUCACUCUUACCUGCUCGUUGUUCCCUUAUGCCAUAGUUUGUACAUCUCAAUUGUCAUUAGAAACCAUAUUUGUUUAAGCAAGUCAGCCAUAUCAGCUAGGUUUUUUCAAAGGCAGUAAAUGAGUGAACUGUUUCGCUGCCAGACAAGGCUGCGCUGUUAGCCAUGUUUAGCGGUGGAUUCACUCCAUGGUGCUGAAAAGAAAGCUCUGCUGUUGGGACAGCUUUACGGAUAAAGCACUAAAUAAACUUCAGUUAGUGCUAAACACGGCAGCUAGAAUCUUGACUAGAACCCCAAAAUCCAAUUCACACACUUAUCAAGAGUACAUCCCUACAGACUGAUCCGGUGGGCUCACUAAACUCCGACGCUUCAUUUGUAAAUUAUGUCUGAGUGUUGGAGUUGCCGUCUAGUUUGCUUAAUAUAAGGAAUUUGAAAUGAUUUAUACUUUUAUUUUUUAUACUUAAGUAUAUAUUAGCAAUUAAAUUUACUUAUACUAAUAAUAAUAUAAUAAUAAUAUUCUUAAGUAUAUUUAAAACCACAUACUUUUAGACUUU
rnacentral:lncRNA from 13 species